CUAGAUCUUUACAAUUUAGUGUUCUAUCACCAAAGUAACAAGUCGAGAACUUCCAAAGAACCACUUUCUAAAGAGCUACAGAAGCAGAAAGGAAUCUUCAUAGCUGGUGGGAAAAUGUUAUUCGUCGAGGUCAACUUAGUAUGGGGAAAUAUGAUUCCCAAUGUAGACUACAACUUUGCAAACAGGGAAAAAAAAACUGCAGUGCUGAAAAUGCAACCAAUUCAACAUUGAAGUCUGUAACUACUCUCAUUCUACGGACUCAAAUUUGGAAGCUGGGUAGUGGGGUCAGAGAAAGGAGGGGUGGAAACAGACACGAACACAAUUAGUUCUAAUUCAUGAUAACAACCAUAGUCAAAUAUUUUAGGAACACAGCAAAGGGAGAGAUUUAUUUCAACUGAGCAGCCUGGGAAGAGCUUCAUGAAGAGAGUGACAUCUGCACUGGGCCCAUUCUAAUGAGAGAGGAAGGGCAACUCCAGGCAGUGGGAAGAGUACAAACAAUAACAAAAAGAUGGAGGGGAAAUAUGGAACUUAUUUCUCUUAUUUCCAAAGUGGCACAUGUUCAUUGUUAGGGUAAAAGCACAAACUAUGGUCAGAAAAAGUUUUUCAUUAAAACAAUUAUUUAACCUGAAAUCCUACCAUUCAAU